GUCCUUGUGCGGCGUUGUGGGAGGGGCCUAGCCUUUUACCGGCCAAUCCUGGCGGCAUCCCUCAUUUGCAUUAAAAUCGGAGCGGUCAGAGUGCAGUACGCUCGAGCACACUGUGCUUGACAUUGCGGAAAUAGAGAGACUCACUGGGGUCCUUGCAAGACAUUGGCAGGUGAACUGCAAGAUCUCCCUUUGCGGAUGAUGUUGUUGGCCAUGUACGUGACGUAGGCAAUUGAAGAGCACCUUGCAUCUCUGAUUGUGUAUCUGUGUAGUCCAGAGUGUCGUCCGCCAUCAUCAGGGAAAAAAUGAUGGCUCCCCACUAUUAUAUUAUUCAGUGGUAUAAACAAUAGAUGGCUGGUUACCCUAAUUUAAUUGAAAAUACUCUGUUAUAAUACACAGAGACACAUACAAAGAAGAGUUUCACAACUACUUUAAGUAACUCAGUGAACUGCUGUAAUUGCAGUCGUUUUGCCCGGAGGAUAAAGAAUAUACUGGAAAUCAACAUCCGCCAAACUGCUGCUUGUUGCGAAGUAAACCGAGGGCAGUUAUGGUCGAACCCUAUAAACUCUGCCUAGCAACUAGUGGCCAGAAGGGGGUGACAAGAAAUAUGACUUGAUUCUGGUAAAAAUGAGGAGGCAUGGUGGGCGGUAGGUCCCGUAUGACCCAAGGGCCAAACGGAUUAACUUUUAAACAUGAUCUGGACAGGGAAUGUCAAUCUGGAUCACAUUUAAAACUGCAGCUC